AAAAAAUUUGAGGGAACUUUGGUGUGGUGUAUACCUGUGUAUAGCCUCCACUACACCACUGGCCCCUUGUGUUUUACAAAAAGUGCACUCUUCUACAUGAGUGCGCUGGUAUUAUGGUUGCUGUCCUUUCAGAAUCACAAACCUGUCACACACUGAAGGUCUAUAGGUUCACCACUGUACUAACCUGUCACACACUGAAGACCUAUAGGGUCACCACUGUACUAACCUGUCACACACUGAAGACCUAUAGGUUCACCACUGUACUAACCUGUCACACACUGAAGACCUAUAGGUUCACCACUGUACUAACCUGUCACACACUGAAGACCUAUAG
rnacentral:lncRNA from 1 species